UUUUUGUUGGAACCGGAAAAAUCUUAGAAUCAUUAGCUAUCUGACAGCAUCUGGCUGUUUAUUUUCGAGUUCUGCCUUCGUGACCAUGAGCAAUAACAAUGUUUUAAAUAGCGGGCUACAGCAAAUAGCGGCGAGCCUCUAAAUCAGCUAUAGUGAAGUUAUAGCGGGCUAUAGCGAUAUAUUUAUACAUGAUACCAUUUAGCGGCACCUUGUUAAAAAGGCUAUAACGAGGCUAUAGCGGAGCUAUAGCGGGCUAUUUAAAAGUAUGGCAAUAACUUGUAGUGCACAGCCUUCAGGAUCAUUGGUCCACGGACGGCGUAGUGCUUUUCCUUUCCUUUCUGCUUGGACAUGAAACUGUUGCGUGCCAACAAGGACUGGAGAAUGGAGAUACGUGAUAUAGGAUAAUCCAAGCAAGCUUUUCCUGAUCUUAACCAUCCAUUAAUGCCUGAUUAUCAGUGGCACCUGCGGUUUUGGACUGUACUAAUAAAGAAAAACUGCUUCUUCUACUGAUUGUUGUGAAUGAUCCAUGAAGCUGGCGGGUCGGAGCGGUGGGCA
rnacentral:lncRNA from 1 species